CGCGUAGGUGGUUGUGUAAGUCGGAUGUGAAAUCCCCAGGCUCAACUUGGGAACCGCAUCCGAUACUGCAUGACUCGAGUACAGCAGAGGGAAACGGAAUUCCUGGUGUAGAGGUGAAAUUCGUAGAUAUCAGGAGGAACACCGGUGGCGAAGGCGGUUUCCUGGGCUGGUACUGACACUGAGGCGCGAAAGCGUGGGUAGCAAACAGGAUUAGAUACCCUGGUAGUCCACGCUGUAAACGGUGAGUGCUGGGUGUGGGAGGUGUAAUGCCUUCUGUGCCGAAGCUAACGCGUUAAGCACUCCGCCUGGGGAGUACGGCCGCAAGGUUGAA
rnacentral:rRNA from 1 species